GAGAUCAGUAAGAACCUUUAUUUGGGGGGCUCACUGCUGGGCUAGAGGAAGUGGAGUUGAGAGCCAGCAGUGGAGGGACUGACUGAAACCUCUUCCUUGGGGACAGAGAGAAGGAGGAAGGAGAAGGUAAUUUCCAGGUAGUGAUGAGGACAUAGGUUCUGCACCUUGUGGCCUUCCAAAAUAGGUAGCGUUCACCUGUAUGGAAACAACAGCAAGCUAACAGCAAGUGCGGGAAUCCCGGAUAUGCAGUUGGUUUAAGUGUUCAUGUUCUAGUGAACACGGGCUUGUUCUGGAGCAAACACUAAGACGAUUUGAGUGGAGUCUGCUGGUCACCUUUGUGAAAGCUGUUGGGAAAGCUCACAUUCACCUUGUAGCACAUGAUGCCAGAAAUAGCACUGAAGCAACAAACUAGCCAUUGGGGGCUCCCCUCUUGUGUCUCUGUCCACACCACUCGAUUCUCUACUGUGACUUUGGUUCAGGAACCUUAUUUGUUUGUUUUUGCUUUUAAAUAUAAGAAAAGAGCAGGUUUGCUCAGUCCAGCGAUCAAAUCCUGAAUCCAGAUUCCCAGUCAU
rnacentral:lncRNA from 1 species